rnacentral:rRNA from 1 species
UACGUAGGCAACGAGCGUUGUUCGGAAUUACUGGGCGUAAAGGGCGCGUAGGCGGCCUGCUAAGUCGAACGUGAAAUCCCCGGGCUCAACCCGGGAACUGCGUCCGAUACUGACAGGCUUGAAUCCGGGAGAGGGAUGCGGAAUUCCAGGUGUAGCGGUGAAAUGCGUAGAUAUCUGGAGGAACACCGGUGGCGAAGGCGGCAUCCUGGACCGGCAUUGACGCUGAGGCGCGAAAGCCAGGGGAGCAAACGGG